rnacentral:rRNA from 1 species
AUGAACGCUGGCGGCGUGCCUAAUCCAUGCAAGUCGAGCGAACAGACGAGGAGCUUGCUCCUCUGACGUUAGCGGCGGACGGGUGAGUAACACGUGGAUAACCUACCUAUAAGACUGGGAUAACUUCGGGAAACCGGAGCUGAUACCGGAUAAUAUAUUGAACCGCAUGGUUCAAUAGUGAAAGACGGUUUUGCUGUCACUUAUAGAUGGAUCCGCGCCGCAUUAGCUAGUUGGUAAGGUAACGGCUUACCAAGGCGACGAUGCGUAGCCGACCUGAGAGGGUGAUCGGCCACACUGGAACUGAGACACGGUCCAGACUCCUACGGGAGGCAGCAGUAGGGAAUCUUCCGCAAAGGGCGAAAGCCUGACGGAGCAACGCCGCGUGAGUGAUGAAGGUCUUCGGAUCGUAAACCUCUGUUAUUAGGGAAGAACAAAUGUGUAAGUAACUAUGCACGUCUUGACGGUACCUAAUCAGAAAGCCACGGCUAACUACGUG